rnacentral:rRNA from 1 species
UACGUGGGGGAGGCAAGCGUUGUCCGGAUUUAUUGGGCGUAAAGAGCGUGUAGGCGGCCAUACAGGUCAGCUGUGAAAACUCGAGGCUCAACCUCGAGACGUCGGUGGAAACCGUAUGGCUAGAGUCCGGAAGAGGAGAGUGGAAUUCCUGGUGUAGCGGUGAAAUGCGCAGAUAUCAGGAAGAACACCCGUGGCGAAGGCGGCUCUCUGGGACGGUACUGACGCUGAGACGCGAAAGCGUGGGGAGCGAACAGG